rnacentral:rRNA from 1 species
UACGUAGGGGGCAAGCGUUAUCCGGAUUUACUGGGUGUAAAGGGAGCGUAGACGGUGAAGCAAGUCUGAAGUGAAAGGCGGGGGCCCAACCCCCGGACUGCUUUGGGAACUGUACGGCUGGAGUGCAGGAGAGGUAAGUGGAAUUCCUAGUGUAGCGGUGAAAUGCUUAGAUAUUAGGAGGAACACCAGUGGCGAAGGCGGCUCACUGGACUGUAACUGACGCUGAAGCACGAAGGCGUGGGUAUCGAACAGG